rnacentral:rRNA from 1 species
GACGAACGCUGGCGGCGUGCUUAACACAUGCAAGUCGAACGGUAAGGCCCUGCUUUUGUGGGGUUCUCGUGUGGCGAACGGGUGAGUAUCACGUGUGUAUCCUGCCCUUUACUUUGGGAUAACUUCAGUAAACUGGGUCUCUUACCGGAUAGGACCUCCUGCUGCAUGUUGGGGGUUGGAAAGUUUCGGCGGUUGGGGAUGGACUCGAGGCUUUUCAGCUUGUUGGUUGGGUAGUGGCUUACCAACGCUUUGACGGGUCGCCGGACUGAGAGGGUGACCGGGCACAGGGGGACUGAGAGACGGGCCAGAGGGCAACGGGAGGAAGGAGGGGGGAAUAGAGCACAAUGGGCGGAAGGAGGAGGGAGGAAAGCCGGGUGGGGGAGGACGGCCGUCGGGUAGUAAAGGGCUUGAGAGUGUGACGAAGCGAGAGUGACGGUAAUGUGUAAAGAAGAAACGGCUAACUACGUG